rfam:Lactobacillus gastricus PS3 contig00033, whole genome shotgun sequence.
CGGGAAUUAGCUCAGCUUGGUAGAGCGCGUCGUUCGGGACGACGAGGUCGCAAGUUCGAAUCUUGUAUUCCCGA